rnacentral:sRNA from 1 species
UUCUUCGAGUAUGCUGCUCUUGCUCUAAGACGCUCAUACAUUGGAGUCACAGCUUUGUAAAUUAAACUGGAAAUAGUUUGCAGACUUAUCAGUCUUCUGACCUGCAGCAGUGUCUCUGCUAUGUUUGAGAUUUUUGUUUUGGAUGGUGAAAGCUAGCACUCCUUACAAGACAUGACAGCAAAAGAUUCUUCAAAGGAACUUACUGCUUCUGAACCUGAGGUUUGCAUAAAGACUUUCAAGGAGCAAAUGCAUUUAGAACUUGAGCUUCCGAGAUUACCAGGAAACAGACCUACAUCUCCUAAAAUUUCUCCACGCAGUUCACCAAGGAACUCACCAUGCUUUUUCAGAAAGUUGCUGGUGAAUAAAAGCAUUCGGCAGCGUCGUCGCUUCACUGUGGCUCAUACAUGGUCAGAGGACACACAAGAAGUCCACUCUUAUCAGUAAGUGAGUAAUGGAUGAAGUGAAGAGCUUUGAUGUGGAAAAUGGCCCUUCCCCAGGUCGGAGUCCACUGGAUCCCCAGGCCAGCUCUUCCUCUGGGCUGGUACUUCACGCC